GCCCUUUGUCACCUUGAGUGUUUUGAUGUCGGCUUUGUGCUUUCUCACCUCUGUUGAAAGCUCACGGGAGUGCUCUAUGUACCCAUUCAGAUAAUGGGCGAGCUGUUAAAAAACCUCUUAUGAGUAAUGUAACAAGUGUAUGUUUAGAAUAAAUAAAACUACAGGAGCUUUAGCUUACCUGGAUGAAGCACACCACAGCUCCUUUCCUUAUUGCCCCAUGCAAUUUGGCCAGCAGCUCGUUUGCAUCGACCGGGAGGAGCAUCCUGAUAAAC
rnacentral:lncRNA from 1 species